rnacentral:rRNA from 1 species
GACGAACGCUGGCGGCGUGCUUAACACAUGCAAGUCGAACGGAGCGAAUGAAAGCUUGCUUUUAUAAGCUUAGUGGCAAACGGGUGAGUAACACGUAGGCAACCUGCCGACAGGAUGGGGACAACAUUCCGAAAGGAAUGCUAAUACCGAAUGAAGCGGAGGAGAGGCAUCUCUCCUGCGUGAAAGAUGGCCUCUAUUUAUAAGCUAUCACCUGUCGAUGGGCCUGCGUCUGAUUAGCUGGUUGGUGAGGUAACGGCUCACCAAGGCGACGAUCAGUAGCCGGUCUGAGAGGAUGAACGGCCACAUUGGGACUGAGACACGGCCCAGACUCCUACGGGAGGCAGCAGUGGGGAAUCUUCCGCAAUGGGCGCAAGCCUGACGGAGCAACGCCGCGUGAGUGAAGAAGGUCUUCGGAUCGUAAAGCUCUGUUGAUGGGGACGAACGUGCCUAAUGCGAAUAUUUUUAGGUAAGG